rnacentral:lncRNA from 1 species
CAGUCAACGGAGGGCAGUAAGCAAAUUAGUGAUAGAAUCAGACUUGUGUUUUGAAAAGCUCAUCCUGGCUGCUGUGCUUAGAAUAGACUGUGUUGUAGAAAAUACAAACAGGGAAGACCCCAUAGAAAGCUGACGCCAUAUUCUAGGUGAGAAACUAUGGAAAUUUGGACCAAGGUGAUAGAAGGGGAGGUGGUAAGAAACAGUCACAUUCUGUAUACAUUUUAAAAAUAGAACAAAGGAUUGGCUGAAGGAUUGGAUAUGAGAUGGGAAAGAAAGAGAGAGUUCAAGGAAAAUUGCAAAGUCUCUGGUUAUCAUGAGGAGUAUGUGAGAUCCCACAUAUAAAGUAUCAAACAUAAUGCCUAGGACAGAGUGAAUGCUAAAAAAGGGAUAUUCUGGUAUACAUUUCAGUGUGUACAUCUUAACUUAUUCACCCAAUAAUGGCUAUGAAUUCUAUCUAUAUAAUCAGUUUCUGUUCAGGAACAUGAAUGUAAAUUGCAAAGUAGUUUAUACAUUAAAUUCUCAUAGUAGGAAUUCAAUAAAGAUUUGAGAGAAGACGUUUACACUUGGUACCCGUCAAUAUUGGGCAACCACCAACUAUAUUUGGUACUUAACGAGCCUUUAUAGAAGUUCCCAAAAUGUAAAAAUGAAGAGAACUAGAAAGAUUAAGAUAGAAGAGUUUAAAAAAUAUAUGUUCAUGCAGGAGAAAAGUGAAGGCUUUUCAAGGUUACUAAGGUAAGUCUAAGGCAACGAUUCCUAGAGCAAAUCAAGGGGCUGUGAAAGCUAAUGGACAUAGCUCAAGAUUUACUUUUGGGUUUGGAGAAACUAACAUUGAAUUGGCUAUUUCCAAUAAUAAAGUCAUUAGCCCAGGGAAGGAAGAUGAAAUAUAAAAGGAACGUUUAGGUACAGAAAAGUAUAUUUUAAAUUAUCUUUUGGUUGAGAAAAUAUUUCAGAUAAAUGCUGAUGAAAUAAAUCAGCAUUUUAUUUCAGUUUUUUAAUGGUUUUAUAAUAACAGUGAAGGGAUUUAUUCUCUGCCUGUUUACUAUGUUCACAUGGAGAUCUUAAAUGUUUGCCAGAUAUAGUGGAUAGAUUAAAAGAGCCACCUUGGUAAGAACUGAACUAUUUUGUUAUAUUACUGUUUUUAUAAAUGCUGUUAUAUUGCUCUGUAACACACAUUCAUGUAAAGUAUUUGUUUAUAUUUUUAAAAGUAUAUAUAAUGUCUGAGUAUGCAUUUCAGUAUUUCACAGAAACAAAUUAGAAAAGUCACUAAUUUUUGAAAACACUGAAGAACUGAGAGAGCAGAAAUCACUAAAUAAGGAUAUUGUCUGCAGUGAUUAAAAUGGUGGCUAACAGGGAUCUCCAACUGUUGCACCUUUCUUCAAAGAUACGGGCUUCUACAAGGUUUUCAUCAUAGCUACUACAACAGGAGGUCCAGUAGCUCUGGGCUCAAUGCCAAAGCAACCAGAUCCAUGGAGUCUCUGGCCUCUACGUGGCUAACCAGAAGGCUUGGCAAAUUCAGGCUGGAAAUACAGAACAUGUAAUAGUUUGUCGGACAACUUUUAACCCAAUAUGGACAAGAUAUGGGAAGAAGCACACAAUCUUUUCUAGGACACAUCAUUUUAAGGGAAGAUGGGAGAGAUAUGAAGAAGCAGCUGUGGAGAUGCAACGCUGGACAUGAAAUGGGUGUGGAAGACAACGGAAAGCCAGUUGGUCAAGACCCUUGGGAAGAAAAGAAUCUUUAAAAGGUCUCUGUUAGCGUGGGACUAAAUUGUAAUCAGACAUUGUGAAUAAGAUGAAAUACUAAAGAAAGAAAGAAAGAAAAAUAUAGGGCACAUACAGAACUGAUCAAGAAGGGAUUAUCAAGAGACAAUUACUCAACUACCCAUUUGCAAGUGAGCAUAUUCUCACCCAACACUGUUUUCAGUUAUGAUUGAAUGGAAGCUCUAAUUGAAUAGUUCUUUGUGGUGUUCAAAGUCCAAGACAGCAAGUUGUUCUUUUGUAUGGGUUCAUAAGUUUUCCCAGAAUGAACUGUAAAACACUCAUGAUUUCCCUGAACUGUGGCAAAGUGACUUACCCAGUUUCUGGCAAAUUUAUUAAGCAAUACAGACUCCCUGCUUAAUCCAUUGGUUUAAACAAUAUUCAGUUAACACAAAUUAGUGAAUAAGCAGAGACAUAGGUCAGCUGAUCGAAGAAAGAUGUAAAAGUAAAUUAAAAUAAAAUUUAUUUGAAAACAGCAAUGGGUCAGAGCUAAAGCCCAGUACAAGUUAGAACAAAUAAAAACCCAUUAAUCUGAAAAACCUUCUUGGGUUUACAAGAAGGCUUUUCUGAUCUCAGGCUGUAUUUAUCCUCUAGAUGGAAAAAAAAGAGGAGCAAUAAAUCUCUUCAUAUCAAAGGCCUGUUCAGCAGAAAUGAAUUGAAAGUGUUGGGUCAAUUAGACUGAACUAGAUCUCCCCCAGGCAAACCUACUAUCGAUACAUAUUUAGCUUCCAGACACCUUUAAAGGCAGCCUGGGAAAGGCUGGCUAGCAAAGAAAAAAAAAGAUAAUUCUAAAAUUUGAGUUCCCUUUGAACUCCAUCCACUACAGCAAUAAAAAGAGCUGUUUCUGCUCUAUUGCAUUUUGUUGAAACAAAAAAAAAAUAGACUGGAGAAAUGAAUAAGCUCGGCAUAUUAUGUAGAUAAAAUGGUAUUAUGGCAAGAGAAUGAAGAACAAAGAGCUAAGAACCAGAUUCCUGUCGCAGCUCUGCUCUCAUAGCUGUGUGACUUCUGGUCAGUCCUUAGACUUUGAAAUCUAUAGGCUACAUGUCUGGAAAUAAGAGGAUAACAGAUUAUUCUUAAGUUUCUCUGUGAUUCAAAAAUAUCUAUGAAUCUAAAGGAAGGAAGACAGUUAUGUGGAUUGGUUAUUGGAAAAGAAUCUAAAGUAAUUGUUUCAUGUAUGCAUAAAAGGGAAGAUCCAGCUAUAAA